GCAUUGGUGGUUCAGUGGUAGAAUUCUCGCCUGCCAUGCGGGAGACCUGGGUCCAAUUCCUGGCCAAUGCA